rnacentral:rRNA from 1 species
GAUGAACGCUAGCGGCAGGCUUAAUACAUGCAAGUCGAACGGUAAGGUCUCUUCGGAGAUACACGAGUGGCGCACGGGUGCGUAACGCGUAUGCAACCUACCUUUAACUGGGAAAUAGCCCCGAGAAAUCGGGAUUAAUGUCCCAUAUUAUUUUCCGAAUGCAUAUUUGGGAAAUGAAAGCUCCGGCGGUUAAAGAUGGGCAUGCGUGACAUUAGCUAGUUGGUGAGGUAACGGCUCACCAAGGCAACGAUGUCUAGGGGUCCUGAGAGGGUUAACCCCCACACUGGUACUGAGACACGGACCAGACUCCUACGGGGGGCAGCAGUAAGGAAUAUUGGGCAAUGGACGCAAGUCUGACCCAGCCAUGCCGCGUGCAGGAUGAAUGUCCUAUGGAUUGUAACCUUCUUUUAUACACCAAGAAAAAUCUCCACGAGUGGGGACCCGACGGUAGUGUAUGAAUAAGCAUCGGCUAACUCCGUGCCAGCAGCCGCAGUAACAC